rnacentral:lncRNA from 1 species
CUAGCUUGAAGUUCUUUUUAAAGUCAUAAGAAUUGUUUUGAGAGGGUUUUGGAAGACUUAGCAAUUGUUGUUCAAAGUCAGAGUUUGUAUCAAUGAUUUGGGUUUUAUUUAAUAUAAUUAGGGCUAGCAAUUUUGGCUAGUUCGUACAAAUUGUGUGAUAUCUACAGUUGAAAAUUUAAAACUAUUUGGAUUAUUGAGUGUGCUAAGUGUAUAAAAAAUUUUGUGAUAAUCUAACUAUGGGGUUUAGAUUUAUCAAGUUUUUAGCACAAGAAGGUUUCAGAAGGUGGCAGUUUGAGGUUGGAUAGAAUUUCUAUGAUAUUUGAAGAUCUAUCAGUCGGAUUAAGGUAAAAAUUAGCAUGGACUUGGAAGAUUUAAAGAUCAAGCUACAUACCAAUUUUGAGACAUAGUUAAUAGUUGAAGAAGGAGAAAUCAUUGCUGGGAUUUUUGCUUAUUUUUUUUCAAGUUG